rnacentral:rRNA from 1 species
GUAUGCAAUCUACCUUUCACAGAGGGAUAGCCCAGAGAAAUUUGGAUUAAUACCUCAUAGUAUAGUACCUUGGCAUCAAGGAACUAUUAAAGAUUUAUCGGUGAAAGAUGAGCAUGCGUCCCAUUAGCUAGAUGGUAAGGUAACGGCUUACCAUGGCUACGAUGGGUAGGGGUCCUGAGAGGGAGAUCCCCCACACUGGUACUGAGACACGGACCAGACUCCUACGGGAGGCAGCAGUGAGGAAUAUUGGUCAAUGGGCGCAAGCCUGAUCCAGCCAUGCCGCGUGCAGGAAGAAGGUCCUAUGGAUUGUAAACUGCUUUUAUACAGGAAGAAACACCUCUACGUGUAGAGACUUGACGGUACUGUAUGAAUAAGGACCGGCUAACUCCGUGCCAGCAGCCGCGGUAAUACGGAGGGUCCAAGCGUUAUCCGGAAUCAUUGGGUUUAAAGGGUCCGUAGGCGGCCAAAUAAGUCAGUGGUGAAAGCCCAUCGCUCAACGAUGGAACGGCCAUUGAUACUGUUUGGCUUGAAUUAUUAGGAAGUAACUAGAAUAUGUAGUGUAGCGGUGAAAUGCUUAGAGAUUACAUGGAAUACCAAUUGCGAAGGCAGGUUACUACUAAU